UGGAGGAUGGACAUUGUGCUGGUGGUUUGAAUUCCAUCAGCAUUUGCUGGUUUGUGGUGGAGUUUCCCGAAUGUAUUAUUUUGUUUUGACCACGCAACAUUGAUCCGAAGCUCCUGAAGAGAUGACGUUGUCCCAAACCUAUUUAAAGUUCUUAGCAUCAUGUCAUGCAUUACCAACUGACUCAUUAUCUUUUAGACUAACAAUAUGAAAACUUAAGUUGAAGAGUACACGUCAAGAAACCGAAUUAGCUUCUGAUGAAUUCACAUUUGGAAUGAAACGUCAAAUGCUUGAGAAGAGGGAUCGCCAAUUAGCAGAGUUUUCUUUUUUUUCUUUUCUUUUUUUGAUCUUUUACCUUUCCAUAAUUAUUACCAAGUCUAGACAAGCUGGUAGCAACCGUCUCUUCUUAGCAUUGGGUAAUACUCUCAGCUUUCUCUCAUUGGCC
rnacentral:lncRNA from 1 species